UAUUGACUUGCCCAAAAUUUUGUGGUGAAGUGGCAGUAAUUGUAGAAUCGAGUCUGGAAGUUUCUGAGUUUUUAAAAGCAGGAAGUAUAGCAAGAUAACUGAUUCAUUAAGUAUUUUAAAAUAAUUCUUGAAUUUUUCACUUUUCUAAUCUAUAAUAGUUGGUUCUAAGACAGAAUUUUCCUUGAUUUGACAUUCUGAUAACAUGGUUGAUUUUCUUGCUCACUCCUGUUUAAGUCGAGGCUUUUCUUUGUCCUUAAUAAAUAUCCACUGAGCAGACAGCAGGAGCUGUCUGUAGAUUUUGUAAUCUCACAUUAUUCAGCUAAGAACUGACUGUAUAAAGGUGGCAGCAUAUUGGAGACUCUAAGGACUGCAGUUCUCCCUUGUCUGUUGCUUUGCUUUCAGCCAUUUUGUGUCCCAGAUUCAACUACGAUCUAAAAAUAUUAAAAGGAAAAUUGCAGAAAUAAGCAACUUGUAAGUUUAAAAUUAUGUAACAUUCCAGAUAGCUUGGCGAAAUCUGCCUCUUCCAACCUAGACUGUUGAUCAUCCUUUUGUUCAGUGUCUGUACACUGUAUGUGCUACCUACUUUAUUGGUUUGCUGUUGUGAAAUGGAGUGCUGCUGUGCUUACAUUGUCACGGUGCUUUGCUGUGUCUCACUCAUGAGGGCAUCGCUUCACAUUACAUCAUCACAGGAAGAGGAAUGAAUGUAGCAUGGGAAGGGGUCUUGAGGAAAGAAACAAAGUUCACAUAGGCUUUUAUUAAAAUACAUUGUAAUUGUCCUGUUUUAUUACUGUCGUUAAAACAUUUAUUUUCUUUUUUGUUGUUUUGCUUUGUUUUGUUUUUCUUGUAGUUGUGCACUGGAAAAAGAAUACCUAUAGAAUUGGGUAGUAACUAUGGUUUCAAAAACCCGUGGAAAAUCUUUGUGUGUACCCCUAUGGAUAAGGGGGAUAAUGGUUAAAUCUAUUGAGUAUGGCACAUGGCUCCUACUGCAUACUGAAAAAAACCUAAAGUUUAGCACUUGCUGGUGAGGAGAAAGUCAGCAAAGCCUGGACAGAAGUGAGCCUCGUUAACACCAUAAAGCACACGGAGUAAAAUAGCCAGUGUCCUGUCUGCAUGCUGUGCUUUACACACCUUCCUCCAAGGUGAAGGAGAGCGCCAAGAUGUUUGCUCUUUCUUCUGCUUCUUGAUGGGGAAGUGGAGGUCCAACAGAAAAAUAAGACAAGAAAAAGUAAAAUACAUAAAAAAUGGAAAGCAAAGAAUAAAACUGUAUUUGCCAAUGGCAUGACUGUAUAUAUAGGAAACAUUAAGUAAUCUGUUUUAAGCCCAUUGGAAUCAUUAAGUGAGCUAAGCAGGACUUCAGGAAAGAAUGCCAUGGUGUUGACCAAGGUUUGAAGAUGACUCCCAGUGACCCUGGCUUUUUAAUUGUCUUCCUCCUCUGUGUGAUAAAACCUGUGACUAUGAUGGUGUACCCCAUGAUUAUGUAUAUUUCAUGGCAAUGGGAGUUUGUGCAUAUAAUUACAGUUAUUUUAAGGCAAUCAAAAUGCAGGCGAUGUUCAGAAAGCUGACCUAAACACAGGGGCUCUGUAAGUGUGCACUACAACCCAGAGAUAAAGAGAGUAGCUUAUUAAACACUACUCUGCUAAGAGAACAGUUUCUGGAUAUGCUUGGAUUUGUCUGAGACAAAUCUUUUAACAUUUUUUUGUGAUUCAGAUAGAAAUAAGAGUCUGGGGGCUGUGAUGGGGCUCUGGUCAUUUGGCAAUGUAUUUGAUAUACCAAUUUCUAUCCUAACAAAAUUCAACUCCUACUGCACAGGAGCUCUGUUUAGCUUAUUAGCACAAACAUAGAUCUGCUACGUGUCAUGCAAGUGGUAUGGCUCAGAGUGCCAGUUUGCUAAAGGUCAUUCACAUAGUCCUGCUAACCUUGCAAAGAAACUUAAAGCUGAUUGGGUGAGCCAGGUAUUAUUGCACAUACCUAUAAUUCUUGCACUUGAGGGUAGAAGCACAAUAAUCAGAAAUUCAGGGUCAACCCCAGCUACAUAGUAAGUUUGAGGCCAUUGUGGGCUACAUAAAACUCUGUCUUAAAAGUAGACAAACAAAAUAUAGGCUAAUUGCUCUAUACCCUACCCAGCUAUUUCCCUUUCACAUUUUUUUCAUCUUUCAGCUAGCAAGCCAACUCCAUCUGGCUCUCUUAUCCGGCAUAAAAUACUUUGCUUUUUAUACUCCUUUUUUUCUCUCUCUCUAAUUUUUUUUCUCUCAAAGAACAUUGGCUUUGCAGGAUCUCUGUGUCCCAGCCAUUCAAGAGCUGGAAAUAUUCUACAUGCUUUGAUUGUAACCCCCUCCCCUUUUUAAGACUUAUUUUUAUUUUCUGUGUAUCAAUAUUUUGCUUGUGUAUAUAUUUGUGUAUCACAUGCAUGUCUGCCUAGUGUCUAAGGAGGCCAGAAGAAAGUGUUGAGAGUCCUGGAAUUGGAGUUACAGAUGGUUGUGAGAUUACAUGUAGGUGCUAGGAAUCAAAUCCAGGUUCAAGAGCAUCAAAUGCCAGUGAGCCAGCCAUCUCUCCAGCCUCUUCAUUGUAAACAAACACUCUAUUCCUGUAUUUUCAUGGGUCUACCUUUUGACUGUCUUUCAGUCAAAUUCCAAUUGUUCUUGGUGCACUGAUCACUAGUUUAGCAGAGGAAAACUACAUCUCUUGUCUAUAGCUUACCCUGAAAAAAAAAAAACCACUCCCUCUGAAAGAAUAACACUGGUUUGUUUUUUAAAGAUAAAACUAAAAUAAAUUCAAUCAGUAACUUAACCACAGAUGUGCAAGUCCCAGUGUAAAAUCACAAGUAUUGUGGAAAACCAUGGCAACCUAACUCCUCCAAAAAUCACUAAUCCAGGCAGGGCGUGGUGGAAAAUACAUGGUGCGGAUCUCUGUCAGUUCCAGGCCAGCCAAGAUGCAGUGAGAUUUUGUCAUAAAAAAGAAGAAAGUUGCUAAUCCCUUAGUGAUGGCCUACAGUAAGAGAACAUCACGUGAAAUGCUAAAGAACUCAAAGAAUGGCUAUAAGUAUGCUCAAAGAUGGGCUAGGUGUGGUGGCACACACCCUUAAUCCUAGCACUUGGGAGACAGAGGAGGCAGAUCUCUAUGAGUUCAUACUCAGCCAGGACUACAUAGUGAGACCCUGUCUUAGAGAGGGGAAGAAAAUAAAUUAAUUAAACAAACAAACAAACAAACAAAUUAGAAAAAAGACAGAGAUUCCUGAAUGAAUUCUAAGAAAACAGAAAACAGCUGAAUGGAAUAAGAAAGCUGAUACAGGAGCCAGUGACAUGGCACAGGAUAAGAAUAUUUGUCAUCACACCUGACAACCUGAGUUUGAUUACUGAAACUUACAUGGUGGAAAAAGAAAAACAAUUUCCACAGGUUGUCCUCUGACCUCAACAUGUAUGUAGCAUGUACAUAAAAAUAAAUGUAAAAAUGUUUUUAGUUAAGACAGUCAAUACAGUCUAUGAAAGAGCCAAUUCAAUAAUGAGAAAUACUGAAGAACAAAUAAAUUGAAAUUCUGGAAUUUAAAAACACAAUAAGAUGAAUAGAAGAUUCAUGGAAUACCUCAUGAAUAUAAGUGAGUGAUCAAGGAGAGGAGAGCAUAUCAGAAUUUGAAAACAAGGUAGAGAAGUUGGGACAAUUGAACAUGGACAAAGAUUAAUAAGUUAAUAAGAAAAUAAGAGCAGUACUUUCAAGAUGUAUGUGAUACUGUGAAGACCAGACCUAAGAAUUAUGGGCAUAGGGAAAGGAAAUUUUCAUUCUAAAGACAUAAAGAUUUUAUAAAUUCAUUGUAAAGACUGACUUUACCAUUUCAGAAAAUUCAGAACAUUUCAGAAAAUUCAGAACAUUUCCCAAAAUUAGGGGAAAAGAUGCCAAUCCAGAUACAGGAAGCAUUUAGAAUGUGAGAGUAGAAAAGAACCUCCCACAUCCCAGCAUGACUGAAUCACUAAUACAAUGAACAAAGAAAAUAUGCCAGGCCAGAGAGGUGGCGCAGUGGAUGGAGCAGAGGCUUGAGGAUUGAGUUCAGUUAACCACGCAUGUUACAGACUGGGAGUGGCGUGUGCUUGUAAUUCCAGCACUGGACAGACAGGCAGUUCCCAGAUUCUCUGGCAUGCUUGCCUAGCCUACCUUGUGAGCUCCAGGGCAGUGGAAGACCCUGUCUUGGCUGGUGGAAGGUAAUGAGUCAUCCUAGUUGGUGGUUCACAGUUCACAUUGUCCCCUUCUCACUACUGCACUUGACCAGUCUAAAAAAACUGUCUUUAUGAUAGAGUGGAUAGCACCAGAGGAACAACACCCACGGUUGUUACUCUAGUCUUCAUACAUGUGCACACAAAUGAAAUGUGCAUGUGUACACACAGAAAGAAAAUAUUGAAAGCCUCAAGGAACACCUUAUUUUUGAGAUUAUAAUAUAGUCACAACAUUCCUACCUUUUCUUUCCUCUCUCCAAAUCUUUCCAUAUACCCCUUUUUGCUCUCUUUCAAAUUCAUGGCCUUUUUUUUUUUUUUUUCCCAGCUAAACUCUGUCCCAACCUCAACAGAAACUUUUUUAAAACCAUGGGAAAUAACAUAUUUUGAAAAUCAACCCAGACUACUAUUCUCAGCAAAUUGAUCAUAAUUGAAAAAGAAGCUUUCUGUGAUGUGGCUGAAAGAACUCAUGACCACUAAGCUAGCUCCAUAGAGAUAACAAAGGGAAUCCUUUGGACUAAAUAGGGCUCUAAAUAUAUCUACGAAGGUAUAGGAGCAAGCAAACCUUUUUAGUUAAGCAAGAAAUGGGAAAACACUAUUCUAAGACCAACAAAAUGACAGGAGUUAAUACAGUUCUGUUAACACUUUUCCCUAAUCGGAAUACACAGGCUGAUAGGAUUGAAUUUUUUUUUUAAAGAUUUAUUUAUUAUAUGUAAGUACACUGUAGCUGUCUUCAGACACUCCAGAAGAGGGCGUCAGAUCUUGUUACAGAUGGUUGUGAGCCACCAUGUGGUUGCUGGGAUUUGAACUCCGGACCUUCGGAAGAGCAGUCGGGUGCUCUUACCCACUGAGCCAUCUCACCAGCCCCGGUAGGAUUGAAUUUUAAAAAAGGAUUUGUUGCUACCAAGAAACACACCUUAGGCCUGGAGAGAUGGCUCAGUGGUUAAGAACACUGGCUGUUCUUCUAGAAGACCCAGGUUUCCACAUAGCAGCUCACAACUGUCUGUAACUCUAGUUCCAGAGGAUCUAACACCCUCACACAGACAUAAAUGCAGGCAAAACACCAAUGCACAUGGGGAAAAAAGAAAGAAGCACACCUCACCACAAAAGACAGAUAAAGCUAUCUACCAUAGGGUUAAAGGAUGGGGAAAGGUAAUUCAGUCAAAUGGAACGAGGAAACAAGCCUUUGUCGUUAUUCAGAAGAGUCACUCCAUACUCAUCAAGGGAACAGUCCAUUAAGAGGACAUUAUAAUUCUAAAAUCUAUAUUGAAGAUAGGUACACACAGUUUCAUAAAGCAAAUACUACUAAUGUGUGAACUCACACAUUAAUCCUAGCAUAGUAUACCUUCACAGUUUUGCCUCAAGGAUAUAUUAACUCUCCUGCCCUGUGUCAUAAUUUAGUUAGAAGGGAUCUUGAUCGUUUGGAUCUUCCACAAAAUAUCACAUUGGUGCACUAUAUUGAUGACAUUAUGCUGAUUGGAUCAAGUGAGCAGGAAGUAGCAACCACUUUGGACUCAUUGGUAACACAUAUGCGUAUCAGAGGAUGGGAAAUAAAUCCAACCAAAAUUCAAGGACCAUCUACCUCAGUGAAAUUCUUAGGAGUCCAGUGGUGUGGGGCAUGCAGAGAUAUUCCUUCUAAGGUGAAAGAUAAGUUAUUGCACCUGGCCCCUCCUACAACCAAGAAAGAAGCACAACGUUUAGUGGGUCUAUUUGGAUUCUGGAGACAACACAUCCCUCACAUCACUCCUUCAUCUUUGUUGACUGCAACAAAUUGCUUUCUCCUGGGCUGGUUCCACUCCCUUUUAGCAGCUUUCCUCAGCAUGUAUCCCAUGGCUCUGGCAUCUUUAACAUCUUUGAGUCUCCAAGGCAAUUUCAAUGUUACAGCUUCUUGUUUCAGUGUCUGGGACUCCACUUGAUAUUUUGGACUCCUCCUAAGGGCUGGCAUCACUUUUCCAGCUCUGCGCUCUGUAGCACUCUAAGCUCAGGUUGAUCCAUUCCACUAUGGCUGCUGUUCUUGGUGAUCAUCCCAUGGUACUGACAUCUCCAAUACACUGGGGUAUUCCACUCCAAUUAGGCUUCACCAAUAGCCUCUCAUAGGCUCUCUUCAGGGUGCCAAGCCUCAAAUCCUUUGCAUGACCCCUUCAGUCCUGGGCCAUCAACUACAGCUGAGGCUUCACCUUCUCCAAUGGCCUUCCCUGGCCUCUCACAGUGCUAAGCCUCAACUCCUCUCCAUGAUCCCUUCAUUCCUUCACAAGUGUUUGAUAUUCACCAACUGACAGGUCAUCCCAACAAAAAUAAAUUUAAAAACAGAUUGUCCAAUAGGACAUGAAGGAAGUUAUAACAAGUGUAAAUGCUAAUGGCAAUUAAGCAAAGCACUCCUUUAAUGAAUAAGUCAUUGAAGAAAUAAGUUUAAAAAAAUCCCUACUAACAAAUGAGAGUGAAAUAUCAAAAUGUGGGGUACAAUGAAAGCAGGCCUAAGAGGAGGAUCAUUGCUGUAAGUGCUCACAUUUAAGAGAUCAGAUAGAUUUCAGUUUGACAGUUAAGACCUUAAGAUCUUGGAUAAAAAAGAAAACAAUGAAAUUCAGAAAAUCAUCAGGACAUGCCUUAAAAAACAUAUAUUACAUGGAAAAUCCAGGAACAUGGACAGUUUUCUGGAUAUAUAGACAAAUCAAAAUUAAAUCAAAGUGAUAUCUUUUUAACAAAUUUAUAAUAAGCAACACUGUUGAAGCACUUAUUUAAGAAAUGAAAGGAGAGCGGUUGGAGAGAUAGCUCAGUGGUUAAGAGCAGUGACUGCUCUUCCGAAGGUCCUGAGUUCAAAUCCCAGCAACCACAUGGUGGCUCACAACCAUCCAUAAUGAGAUCUGAUGCCUUCUUCUGGAGUGUCUGGAGACAGCUACAGUGUACUUACAUAUAAUAAAUAAAUAUUUAAAGAAAAAAAAAAAAAGAAAUGAAAGGAGAGCCGAGCAUGGUGGCACACGCCUUUAAUCCCAGCACUUGGGAGGAAGAGGCAGGCGGAUUUCUGAGUUCGAGGCUAAAAAAAAAAAAAAGAAGAAGAAGAAAUGAAAGAAGAAAGGAAGGAAAAAGAGGAAGGAAGGAAAGAAAAAAGAAAAGAGAAAAGAAAAGAAAGAUUAAUUUCCUGAAAGAGAGAGCCGGACUUGGAUGAGUGUGACUGCUGAGUUCCGCUGACUUCUAAGAGCUAAGGCAGGGAAGGAGGAGGCACUUUCAGGGAGUUUUCUCAAACCAGUGCCCAGUACCAAAACAAGAUACAGACAUAACAAAAGAAGAUUAUAGAACAAGCUACAUGGCUGUAAAAAUUCUCAGCCAAAUAUUUGCAUGUUGAAAUCAAUAGUGCAUCAAAAGAUCAUGAUCAAGUUGUCUUUAUUCUAGAGAUUUACUAUGGUUCAGCCUACAGAAAUCAUCAAUAGGGGGCCAGAGAGAUGGCUCAGCAAUUAGAGCACUGACCACUCUUCCAGAGGUCCUGAGUUCAAUUCCCAGCAACCACAUGGUGGCUCACAACCAUCUGUAAUGAGAUCCGAUGCCCUCUUCUGGUAUGUCUGAAGACAGCUAUAGUGUACUCAUAUAAAUAAAAUGAAUAAAUCUUUUAUAAAAAAACUGAAAAAAAAUCAUCAGUAAAUAUAGUAAUAUACCACAUAAAUGUUUAUUCAAGGAUAGAUAUCAGAUGAUCAUCUCAAUAGAUUCAAAAAGUUUUAUGACAAGCUCUGAAUCCCUUCAUGAUAAAAGCCCUGAAGAGGGGCUUAAAGAGACAGCUUCAUAGUUAAACAAAGCAAUUACUGUGUGGUUCCCAGCAUCUGUGUUGAGUACCUCACAGCCACCUAUCACCGCAGCUCCAGGGGAUCCUGUGCCCUCUUCUGGCCCUCCUUAGGUACCUAUGUGCACAUGCACAUAUACAGACACACAGGCACAUACACAGAUAUACAGGCAGAUAAUAAGUCUUUUAAAAAAUGCAACUAAAAAAGGCCAGUUCAGAAAAAGAUGAUCUUUUUGUGGGUUCUAGAUUUUGAAUAGUUAUAGGAUUAUGUAUGUAUAUAUAAAAAAAAGUAGCAGUGAAAUUAUGUAGAGUAACAAAGGGACAAACAGAGGUGGGGAGAAUA